GAUGUGAUGGAGGGCACGGGUGCUGGGCUUCCCCCUCAUGGGUAAAACCAGAGCUGCUGUAUGCCAGCCGUGGAGGCAUGGACAGCCCCUGAGCUCGGACAGCAGACGGACAGACCGUUGACGCGUUGGCACCGUGGCCAGAGUCCGUUCAAGAAAGGUCAGCAGAGAGGGCUGAGAACGCGGCAGGCACAUCCUCCAAGGGCCCUGCUGGAACCCCUGGAGCAAGAGGAAGCGGUGAUUCUCCAGGCCUUGGACCUAAUUAUGGAGAGAGAGACACGGAGGGAGCUCCUGUGACCCUCAAGUCCCCUCAUCACGUCCCCGUGCCGUUGGCUUUCCGAGUUUAGCUCCCAUGUUUGGACCAUGGAGGUUUAUGUCUUCUAUCUGCCAUAUCCCUCACAGUAGGGCCUGUGAAGUCAUCAUCCCUGCCACAUGCCCAACCAGACAUGCUGACAUCACAGGCCCUACUCAGCCCUCUUUCCUCUCCCCUUGGCCUCACCUUCAUGUCAGGGGGUGUCCUCUGGUCUGACUCAGGGGCAGUGACUGGCUUCCUUCCAGUACCUUCUCUGGAUAAUGAGUAUGGAUGAC
rnacentral:sRNA from 1 species